AUGGCUGUCCUGGUGCUGCUCCUCUGCCUGGUGACCUUUCCAAGCUGUGUCCUGUCCCAGGUGCAGCUGAAGGAGUCAGGACCUGGCCUGGUGCAGCCCUCACAGACCCUGUCCCUCACCUGCACUGUCUCUGGGUUCUCAUUAACUGACUAUGGUGUACACUGGGUCUGCCAGCCUCCAGGAAAGGGUCUGGAGUGGGUGGGAGGAAUAUGGUGGGGUGGAGGUACAGAUUAUAGUUCAGCUCUCAAAUCCCAGAUCACCGUCACCAGGGACACCUCCAAGAGCCAAGUGUUCUUAAAACUGAACAAUCUGCAAACUGAGGACACAUCCACUUAUUACUGUGCCAGAGACACAGUGAAAGAACUCCAGUGGUCUCUGCUGAAGAUCCCGCUGGCCGGGACAAAUUCUUGUGAUAUUCAGCACUUUGUGAACAGAGCUGCAGCAAACAUGAGAGGUGGACUUCAUAGACGCUGCUUUGGACCCCGCUUCACCUCCAUCUCAGCUAACAUCACCAGGCUCACUCCUGCCACACCCAAUAAUUGUUAUCUAACUCCUCAAGUUGUCUGGGUAACCAGCAGUGCUAGGAGCCUGAAGAAGCCCUUUGCCCACCAUCAGUGA